AAACCAGCACCUCAAGUGGUCAGGAGGAUUAUUGGGCCUAAAGCAUCCGUAGCCUGUUCUAUAAGUUUCCGGUUAAAUCCAUUAGCUCAACUAAUGGGCCGCCGAAAAUACUGUAGAACUAGGGAGUGGGAGAGGUAGACGGUAUUCGGUAGGAAGGGGUAAAAUCCUUUGAUCUAGUGAGGACCACCUGUGGCGAAGGCGGUCUACCAGAACACGUUCGACGGUGAGGGAUGAAAGCUGGGGGAGCAAACCGGAUUAGAAACCCGAGUAGUCC
rnacentral:rRNA from 1 species